AUCGCUUUCGGCCUUUUGGCAAGAUUCACGUGUAGUAUCUGUUCUUAUCAGUGUAAUAUCUGAUACGUCCCCUAUCUGGUUUCUCUUUCAGUUUCGAAUAAAUCUUUCUAGACUAAGGCUUAAGGGUAGGCAUUGCCCGCUCUCUCCGAGGUCUGUGAGAGGUUGUUCGGGUGCGGAGGAACAGAAUUUUU
rnacentral:snRNA from 1 species